CGUUUGCGAUUAUGGCAUCGCACACAGUUUCUCAAAGGGUCUCUGAUCGUAGUGUCGCGUUGGCAGCAUCCUGCAGUAGUGGUUAGAGCUCGAAUAUGUCUUGAACUUAUACUGAAUUCAAUUAAUAUAAAUCUCGUAACAUAUUCAGAUCUAUUUGAUAGUCGCCAAUUAAAAGGAGAUAUUUUCGCAAUUUUUGUUAUAGCCCUUGCGGCUGCUGAAGCCGCUAUGGGACUAUCCAUUCUUUCUUCCAUCCAUCGUAAUAGGAAAUCCACUCAUAUCAAUCAAUCUAAUUUAUUGAAUAAUUAG
rnacentral:rRNA from 1 species